rnacentral:rRNA from 1 species
GGGUGAGUAACACGUAGGGAACCUGCCCGCGCACCGGGAAUACGCUCUGGAAACGGAGAACAAAUCCCGAUGUACAGGAAGGAGGCAUCUUCUUUCUGUGAAACAUCCUUUAGGGGAUGGGGCGCGGAUGGACCUGCGGUGCAUUAGUUGGUUGGUGGGGUAAAGGCCCACCAAGACGAUGAUGCAUAGCCGGCCUGAGAGGGCGGACGGCCACAUUGGGACUGAGACACGGCCCAGACUCCUGCGGGAGGCAGCAGUAGGGAAUUUUCGUCAAUGGGCGCAAGCCUGAACGAGCGAUGCCGCGUGAGUGAAGAAGGCCUUCGGGUCGUAAAGCUCUGUUGCGGGGGAAAAAAGGCAGCAUCAGGAAAUGGGUGCUGACUGAUGGUGCCCCGCCAGAAAGUCACGGCUAACUACGUGCCAGCAGCCGCGGUAAUACGUAGGUGGCGAGCGUUAUUCGGAAUGAUUGGGCGUAAAGGGUGCGCAGGCGGUCCUGCAAGUCUGGAGUGAAACGCAUGAGCUCAACUCAUGCAUGGCUUUGGAAACUGGAGGACUGGAGAGCAGGAGAGGGCGGUGGAACUCCAUGUGUAGCGGUAAAAUGCGUAGAUAUAUGGAAGAACACCAGUGGCGAAGGCGGCCGCCUGGCCUGUUGCUGACGCUGAGGCACGAAAGCGUGGGGAGCAAAUAGGAUUAGAUACCCUAGUAGUCCACGCCGUAAACGAUG